rnacentral:rRNA from 1 species
GGGGAAUGCCUUGGCACCGAGAGCCGAAGAAGGACGUGACUAACUGCGAUAAGCUGCGGGGAGCCGUAAGUAGGCUUUGAUCCGCAGAUUUCCGAAUGGAGCAAUCCGGCAAGAGGAAAGUCUUGUCAUCAUAUACUGAAUACAUAGGUAUAUGAGGGGAACCGCCUGAACUGAAACAUCUAAGUAGGGCGAGGAAGAGAAAUCAACUGAGAUUCCGUAAGUAGUGGCGAGCGAACGCGGAAGAGGCCAAACCGAGAGUAGUAAUACUUUCGGGGUUCGGACAGAAUACGGCAUUGUAAAGGUUUAGUGGAAUGGAAUGGGAAGUCCAACCGAAGAAGGUGAGAGUCCUGUACACGAAAAGCCUGAACAGCCAUCUGUAUCCAGAGUACCGCCGGACACGUGAAACCCGGUGGGAAUACGGGGGGACCAUCCUCCAAGCCUAAAUACUACUCGGUGACCGAUAGUGAAGAAGUACUGUGAAGGAAAGGUGAAAAGUACCCCUGACGGGGAGUGAAAAAGAACCUGAAACCUUGUGUUUACAAGCACCGAAAGCUCAUCAAAGAGCGAUCGGGUACCUUUUGUAGAAUGGUCCGGCGAGUGAAUGUAACCGGCGAGGUUAAGCACUUAAGGUGUGAAGCCGCAGCGAGAGCAAGUCUGAAUAGGGCGUAUGAAGUCGGUUGUAUUCGACCCGAAACCGGGUGACCUACCCAUGGUCAGGUUGAAGUAAAGGUAAAACUUUAUGGAGGACCGAACCGACUCCCGUUGAAAUGGUAGCGGAUGAACUGUGGGUAGCGGAGAAAUUCCAAUCGAACCCGGAGAUAGCUGGUUCUCUCCGAAAUAGCUUUAGGGCUAGCCUUGAAAUAGAUUACCGGAGGUAAAGCACUGAAUUGGCUAGGGGCCGAGAGGUUACUGAACCUUAUCAAACUAAGAAUGCCGGAUAAUCGUUUUUCAGGAGUCAGACAGUGGGAGAUAAGUUUCAUUGUCAAAAGGGAAACAGCCCAGACCCACAGCUAAGGUCCCCAAGUAUAGUUAAGUGGAAAAGGAUGUGGAAUUGCACAGACAACCAGGAUGUUGGCUUAGAAGCAGCCACUCAUUAAAAGAGUGCGUAAUAGCUCACUGGUCGAGUGACUCUGCGCCGAAAAUUCAACGGGGCUAAACUAUACACCGAAGCUUGGGAUACAUCUAAUGUAUGGUAGGAGAGCGUUCUGUAUGGGGAGAAGUCGUAGCGAAAGCGGCGGUGGACUAUACAGAAGUGAGAAUGCCGGAAUAAGUAGCGAGAAUUAAGUGAGAAUCUUAAUGGCCGAAAGUCUAAGGUUUUUGGAGGAAGGUUCGUCCGCUCCAAGUAAGUCGGGAGCUAAGGUCAGGCCGAAAGGCGUAGCCGAUGCACAUACGGUUGAUAUUCCGUAACCAUCUGUAAUUUAAGCAAAGGGACACUUCAAAAGGGUGUGACCCGGGCGUUGGUUGACCCGGGCGUAAGGGACCGAAAUUAGAGUAGGGAAGCACACUUAGCUGAAGGCGAGAAAAGCUUUGCGUAUAGAAACAGAUGCCCGUACCGCAAACCGACACAGGUGGACAGGAAGAGAAUUCUAAGGCCAGCGGGAGAAGGGUAGUUAAGGAACUCGGCAAAUUGACUCCGUAACUUCGGAAUAAGGAGUGCUCGAAAGAGCCGCAGAGAAUAGGCCCAGGCGACUGUUUAGCAAAAACACAGGUCUCUGCCAAAUCGAAAGAUGAAGUAUAGGGGCUGACACCUGCCCGGUGCCGGAAGGUUAAGAGGAGGAGUGAGAGCUCCGAAUUGAAGCCCCGGUAAACGGCGGCCGUAACUAUAACGGUCCUAAGGUAGCGAAAUUCCUUGUCGGGU